UGAUAAUUAAAACUAAACAGGGCAGCAUGUUUACCUACUGGAACUGGGAAGUAAAUCCUGAAGAGUACAAAGAAAGAAGCUGGACCUGCAAGGGAUACCCCGCAGGCUCUGGAGAUCUGCUGGGCUUGCCAUCUCUGCUUAUCACCUCUGACGUGACCUUGGGCAAUUUACUGAGCCUCUCUGUGCCUCAGCUUUGUCAUCUCUAAGGUGGGCAUAGCAAGUAGUAGCUACCUUCUAUGUUUAAAAUGAGAAUUAAAUAAGUGAAUGUUAGAAUAAUACUAGAAUAAUAAUGGGCAUAAA
rnacentral:lncRNA from 12 species